ensembl:lncRNA
UUUUGAAUGAAUUCAUGUUUUAUUUCUCUGAAUACUCAACAAUGUCCUGCAACAAAGUAAAAAUCACAGAGCAUGAAUGGUUUAAUUUCAAAAAAGAAAAAAAAAAGUUUUUGUACAGUAGACGUAUAACCAUUACAAGAUACUGCUCAAUAGGAUCUCUUCGUAGUUGUAUUUCAUUGGACAUCACCGAGAAGACAGGACAGAUGGUUGGCAACAGAAUACUUACAACUGUUCAGAGUACUAUAAGCAGUGUAGAUGACUGAUUCGAGAUCAGCUGAAUGCGGCUGAUCUGGCAAGAAACAGUCUUCAAAAUGAACUGAUGAAAGACUAGUUUAUAAAUGCAAAAUAUAGUACUUACAGAAAUAAGUUUAAAGCUUAAAGAAACUGUUUAGUGGACAAUUUUAUCCGAAGAAUAUAAGCAUACACAUAAGAGUCAGUCAUAUCUUUAAGUUUUUUUCUUUAAAGUAUUUAACAAAGACACCAUUGAUACCAAAAGAUCUGCGAUGAGCAAAUAUAAUUCAUCAUAUGUCAAACAAAUAGUGAAACGUAGCAUCACUGUGAUGUCAUCUGUUUUCAUGGGGCAGAUGUCAGUGCAGGCAGACUCAGCUCAUCUGCAGUUAUUUCUAUAUUAAUGGGCACAAAUGCAAACUAUGCCAAGCCAUCAGUUACAAAAUACAUUUACAGAUUCACAAAAAAACCUCUACAAAUAAUAAAUAAAUACAUACAAGUACAUUUCUACAUAACUAUUUAAAUUAGAUAAAACGAUCUUGUUGGCUGGAGUGUUAGUCAUACUGCUGUAAUUCUCUAAAUAAUACAAAGCUUCAUCAUCUAAACUAUAAACAUAACAGCACUGAAGAAAAAUUAUUUUUCAUUUCAGAUCUACAGAGGCCGUCUAUCCAGAAGCCUUGGAAAUGUUUCUAUAAUCUUAGUAACCAAAGGACAACUUCCAUUUUGUCUUAAAAUAACACCCCAUUCCAUCACCCCAAAACACCCCUAGUGUUUCUCGCACCACUUUUUAACGGAAAAUGUGCAUUUUCUCCCCCACAUACAACUGAUUUUGGUCCAGUAUAGGAACAAAUGUCCGUUUAAUCAAAAUUAAGAUAACGCAAAAAACUGCAUACAGCUGUCUAAAACUGAAACACAACAAUGAUAUCGCAUCUUCCAGCAAACUCAUUCUGAAUUUUUCAGUUCGCAAACUGAUGAGGCACUAAAAUCUCUUCGCUAAGGGUAUUUUUUAGGAUACCUUGACGGUACAAUAAAAAGACGUAGUAACUGACAAACUAAAAAUAUACAGCCAGGUUUAUGAAUGUAAUGUCCUGUAUGUUUCUGAUGAAUUUGUGAAUACUGUACUUCUAUGCUUUCUGUAAUAUUCAGUUAGAGGACCAUGACCAAACAAAAAGGAGAUUCCUUGAAAUUCUUAGUAACAAUAAAAAAAAACUGCAUUAAGCUAUCAAAAAUAAAUCUGUAGAUGUAUAAAGUCAUAUCAAGUCAAUCUCGAAAAAUAAUAUAAUUCUACACUGACAGACAAGGCACAGCAAACUGGUCAUAUCAGCUGUAGAAAAAGAAAUGCAUAAUAGGACUUUCUGUAAUCCAAGAUGCAAAUUUGUCAGUCAGGUGGGAAUCACGGUUCUGGUUACUGAGAAAGACAAUGGCACCUCUCCAUUACGUUACACACUUUUCCUCAAAUACAUUCUGAAAUAAAAGCUGAAAACACAAUGCAGGAAGCAAAAAAAAAAUCACAAACAAAGACCUAAAUAAAGGGAUGACCAAGUUAUAUGACACCUAUCUCCGGUAGUUUUUCAAAAUUAUAUAUAUAUAUAUAUAUAUAUAUAUAUAUAUAUAUAUAUAUAUAUAUAUAUAUAUAUAUAUAUAAUGUAUACAGUAUAAUGCAUUUGAUUGAAAAAGGACUGGCAAAAUCUACAUCUCAAUUGAAAUGCUCCCGUGACCCGAUGUUGUCAGGUUUCUUAUGUGGUAAUUCAUAUAGAUUUUCCCUGUGUCAGCAGGAUAAGACUUUUUCUGGCUCACACAAGAGGAGGAGAGCCAGUCGAGGAAUACAGUAAAUGGGGUCUGAGGUGGGUACGAGGAGACUUGUGCGUGGAAGAGGCAUCUGUCACUCUGUUUGGUCUUCAGGACUCCUGAGGUACCACUUCCAUCAGCUUCUGGCAUGUUGCCGUGGCAGAGACUGGACAGAAA